GAUGACACGGAGCUACCCGAUCCGUCCGAAAUGGCAGAAGUGGAGGAGACACUGAAGCGACUUCAGAGCCAGAAGGGAGUGCAGGGAAUCAUUGUGGUGAACACAGAAGGCAUUCCUAUUAAGAGUACUAUGGACAACCCCACCACCACACAGUAUGCCAACCUCAUGCACAACUUCAUCUUGAAGGCCCGGAGCACCGUGCGUGAAAUUGACCCCCAGAAUGACCUCACUUUCCUUCGAAUUCGCCCUAAGAAAAAUGAAAUUAUGGUUGCACCAGAUAAAGACUACUUCCUGAUUGUGAUCCAGAAUCCAACUGAAUAAGCCACUCUCUUGGCUCCACGCAUCAUUCCUUAAUUUAAUGCCCCCCAAGAAUAAUAGUGUUAAUCAUGUCAACCAACUGGCAGGUGGAAAUCACCUUAGAGCCCAUGCAGACCAAUCCAGUGACCAGUGUGGGCUGCAUCUCCACCCACCCACCAAAGGCAUCCCUCUGCUGGCCAGUUCCCCUGAGUUCCCAGGAGGCCUCUUUCCUCAAGUCCAGGUUUUGGAACAAGAGCUUAUGAGAGGCCCACACCCUGCUUCCUCCUGACGUUCAGUUCACUUUGUUGCCCUUGGAAAAGGCUGCUUUUCUUUAACUAAAAAUAACUGAAACUUGAAAAAAA